rnacentral:tRNA from 1 species
ACGCCGGUAGCUCAAUUGGCAGAGCAGCGGAUUCCAAAUCCGCAGGUUGAGGGUUCAAGUCCUUCUCGGCGUG